rnacentral:sRNA from 1 species
ACUCAACGUUACAUUUUUGAAAAGGGUGAGUUAUAGUUGCAAAAGCGUGCCGUCUUCGAACGGAUUCUUGACCAGCUUGUUAGCCCUAAACUUUAUUUUAGGAGUUU